UACGUAGGGUGCGAGCGUUGUCCGGAAUUAUUGGGCGUAAAGAGCUCGUAGGCGGUGUGUCACGUCGAUCGUGAAAACUUGGGGCUUAACUCUGAGCUUGCGGUCGAUACGGGCAUCACUGGAGUUCGGCAGGGGAGACUGGAAUUCCUGGUGUAGCGGUGAAAUGCGCAGAUAUCAGGAGGAACACCGGUGGCGAAGGCGGUUCUCUGGGAAUAUCCUGACGCUGAGGAGCGAAAGUGUGGGGAGCGAACAGG
rnacentral:rRNA from 1 species